rnacentral:lncRNA from 1 species
UUAAACUCAAGUACUAAAUAUGUAUUAAGCCUUUGUAUGAUUAUAUUUCAAAUAUGAAUUAAAGUACUUGUACAACCCAAUUUUAUGCCCAGGCCCAAUAGGCCCAACAAACCCAACUAACCCAAUGAUCAAACCCAAACUGACCCAAAUUGAAACCUAGCCCAACAAGCCCAAAAACACCUAAAAUAUUUCAGCAAAAAAACCU